ensembl:lncRNA
CCACAAUAAGGUCUCCCUGGAACAUUCUCUUCUCCAAGCUUCUUCCUUCCUUCUUUCUUCCUUCCUGCAAGCUUCUUCUUCUUUCUUCUCCAAGAAUGCAAAGGGAGUUCAGAGAAGCUACCCAGGGCAUGGAAUGUUUGAGCCUGAUGGUGAAAUCCUUUGCAAAACAUUUCCCGGCUUACAAAGCUCUUCAUCAAAAGUAAAUUCAGAACAAGGAGUGAUGUGCUCUGGAUGAAACCAGGCUGUUCCCAAAGACUGCAAGUAAAGUUUGCCAACGCAUUUUCACUGCCAGCAUGAUAAAUUAUAUCCACAAGACAGCCUUCAAAAUGUGUUGGUUUUAUACGUAUUACACUUGGAUAAUUUUUGGAUAUCAUGUACAUCCUGCCAUUCAAAAUGUCUUCUCCCAGUAACUGUGCAUGCAGAAGUAGACCACUGCUGUGCACCAGCUCACACAUCUAAAGAUAAUAAGGGACAGAAACCUCAGGUUAUCAGCUAGAGGAGACGUCAUAUUGAGUAACUAUCCAAACUGUGGUCUUUUAACUUCCCUAAGAGAUUCUGGACAAAUCUACACCCCUCUCCUUCCAAAAGAAAAACAACCCCAAACCAAAAACACUUCCCUGAUCCCUCAGAAGAUAUUGAAAUAAGAGGACAAAGGCUUUCUCAACACAGCAUGCAAACCUGGGCCAAAAAGCACCAAGUUUUUUAUUCACAGGAAUCAGAUUUGUGGAUCUGGAUUAGUUCUGGAACAGAGAUACAAUCCUGGAACCUCAAUACAGAUCAACAUCUGUUGCUAGUGACAUUGAAGCUCAUGUUGCGUAUUGGCUGGUGAAAGAGAACAAAGCGAAGUGUCUGCUCUACGUUCUGGAUCCUGUCCAUCUUGCUUCACCAUAUGGAGUGAUAAUGGGCUCUGCUAUUCAGAUCUUAUUUUGUUCUUUGAGAAAUAUGUAAAGGAUGGUAUUUAUUAAAUUCAGUGGAAAGUGUCAAGAACAAGGCUAAGUAUUCUGCAAACUGAGCUUCCUUCAGUGCCUGAACAUCUCUGUAGCUGACUUUCUGGAAGAUUAGGCUCAGCAGCUGUCUGCAUCACACAGUUCUUUAUCCCACAGUUUAAGCUUUUCACAGCCAGCCAAACCAUAAGUUUCUUCAUACUGCCUUGUAAUUUUGCUUGGUAAAAGAAAAGUUUAUUUCCCAUUUUCCAGACACAGCCUGGUGAAUUAUUAAUUAGGUCAAUGGUUUCAGCUUGGGGUCUGGGCUGAUAGAUAUAGAGGUCUAGACUCACAUCUGUUCCAAACUGGGGACAGACAGCACAAUUUAACAGCUUAUGGUUAGAAUGAAAAGUCACAAGGGUUGUUCCUGUACUGGAUCACUUGCAUUUGUAGAAUAAUAACUAGGAGACUUGGGAAAAAUAAAUUUGAUGGUAAGCAUGUCUGCUGAUGGAGCAGCUGAAGGAGAACAAAAACAACUUGUGCAAAAUGUGGAGAUGAGAUGAAAGCCCAUGCACUAAUAUUUCAGUGCAUCUCAGAUUAACUAUCUCAGGUUAGCAGAAUAUUGUGUUUUCCUGAAAAUGGUCAUUUCUGGAGUCUUGAAAGUCAGCUGUAG